rfam:Triticum aestivum genome assembly, contig: Triticum_aestivum_CS42_TGACv1_scaffold_621921_7DS
UAUAUACUCCCUCCGUCCAAAAUUCUUGUCUUAGAUUCGUCUAGAUACGGAUGUAUUUAAUACUAAAACGUGACUUGAUACAUCUGUAUUUAGACAAAUCUACGACAUGAAUUUUGGGACGGAGGGAGUAUGUU